rnacentral:rRNA from 1 species
AUUGAACGCUGGCGGCAGGCCUAACACAUGCAAGUCGAACGAGUGGCGGACGGGUGAGUAACGUCUGGGCAACUGCCUGAUGGAGGGGGAUAACUACUGGAGACGGUAGCUAAUACUGCAUACCAGCAGAUGUGCCCAGAUGGGAUUAGCUUGUUGGUGGGGUAACGGAUCACCAAGGCGACGAUCCCUAGCUGGUCUGAGAGGAUGACCAGCCACACUGGAACUGGGACAGGGUCCAAACUCCGAUGGUAGGCAGCAGUGGGGAAUAUUGCACAAUGGGCGCAAGCCUGAUGCAGCCAUGCCGCGUGUAUGAAGAAGGCCUUCGGGUUGUAAUGUACUUUCAGCGGGGAGGCGUUACCCGCAGAAGAAGCACCGGCUAACUCCGUGCCAGCCGCCGCGGUAAUAC